ensembl:lncRNA
ACCAACCAGUACACCAGGAGAGAAGACCACAGCACACCGAGCAGAGGGAACGAUGCACGUCUCCUAGGGGUUCUGACAAGAGGGAUUUUCACUAUCCUUUCCUCGUUUGGUUUUCCCAAGAGAACUUAAGGACUGGCUCAACAUCACGAGCGAGCUCUGGUUUGACUUGUUUGGUGAGGAUAAUGAGACGCAGUGACUGUGACGCUUUUUUGAAAAGAAGUCGAAUGAAUGAGAAACGGUGAGAUCAAUUUCUCUUAUUUGGGGAGGUAAAGGUACAUUUUUUUUUCAGCGCAAUUGUUUGUGAAGAAAGAACGAAAUUAAGAAAGAUAGAAAGAAAGCGAAAGGAGGUGCAGAGAAGGGAAAGAAAAAGAAGCUUUGACACACGCACGGAAGAGAGGAAGAUUUUCCGAACAGAUACCCUAUUAAAAACAGAUAUCCCUGUUCAUUUUUGAGAUAUUCAGCGGUAAGAAAAAAAAGUCAAGGGGAUAUACAUAUUUUUUAAAAGACAGAAAAAGAGGGAACGCGCAGUAUACAUAAGAGCACAGGAGGAGAGGCAUAUAAGAAGGGAAAACGCCACAGAGCCUAAUAUUUUCCGACUGAAGAGGAGAUGCAGCUGAGGGGAAGUGUGGAUUUGAAGCUCUCCCUCCCUCUCUAUCACUUUUCUGCAAUGGAACGGGACGGAAUAGAGAGGUACUGACGACAAGCACCGCUAAAACCUAGCGGAGAGUGGAUUUAAAGACAGAGAGGCAACCUGUGCGCCCGUCCCUUCCACCCCUCUGCUUCUCUGGGCUUUUUUUUUCUCUCCCUCGGUGGAUGUUGACUGAAUUUAUUAGAUUUUUUUUUUCGGAUAUGAAGGAUUUAUCUAGUCUAUGUUAGAAGGAGGCGGCAAAGAAAACGCACGCGUCUCCGGUUUCUCUCCCCCUCUCUCUUUCUCUCUCUAUCUCUCCCACUCUCUCUCUCCCUCCGUUUUCUGGAUGUGAAGCAGCAUGCGGCCCGGUGAGAGCUUAGAGGGCUCGAGCUCGGCUCACGGAAGAUGUAUUGAUGCUAAUAAUAUUACUAAUAGCGGCACGGAACGCUGUCUCACGCACCUCUCGUCGGCUACGAGGAGGAUGAAGAGGGUGACGACGAAGAGGAGGAUGAGGGGGACGAACGAGAGGAUGAGGGACGGAGGAAUGACGGCGAUGCGCUGUUUUCUGUGGAGUCUCGUUCUCUGCUCGCUCUCAUCGCGCGCCCAAGGUAAGGGGAUGCGACACCCGCAAACACACAGACACACGCGCGCAUACACAGACAGUUAAUAAGCGAACCCACACGCAGUCACACGGUUUGAGUGAGAAUGGCCGGCAGUACAUUUUUUUCUUCUUCUUCUUUUAAUUUUUUCUUCUUUUUCUUUACUGAUGCAGUCAAGCGCGCGCGCGUUUGUAAAGAGGAAAGUGUGGGUGUGCUUCUGCUAGUGUGCGAGAGGUGUCUGCGUGCGCGCGAGGAUGUCUGCGAGGUGUCAGUGCAAGAGUGUGAGUGAGAAGGGGUUGGGGAUGUAUGCGUGGAUGUAUGGUGUGUUGCGGGGCAAAGCAGAGAAAAGGGAAUUGGCAUACAGGUAGGAUGAAGGGAAAGAGGGAGAGAUGAGUGGAACAGGCAACAGCUUCUCUCCCUCUUUCCUCGUUUUCUGGUUGCUUCAGUUUGCUCUCUCUCUCUCUCUCUCUCUCUCUCUCUCUCUCUCUCUCAUCCUUCUCUUCAAUACAGCCAUUGAGCUGGUAGCCAAUAAAUAUUCUUGCGGUAGCUCUUGGGCUGUGGCAGCGAACGUGAGUUGCUUAUACCAAAGUGUGUGCGGGAGUGUGUUUGUCUGUGUGUGUGUGUGCAUGAGUGUGAACGUGAGUUGCUUCUAGUGAUGAGGCCCAAGCCUUACACAGCAUUUUAUUCCCAAACCUCCUCCACCAUGACCAUUUCUUCUUCUUCUUCUUCUUCUUCUUUUUUUUUCUGAAACUGCAUUUCAGUCAAAAGAUGUUAUAUAAUUCUGGUGUCCCCCCCACCACCUCUUUUUCUUUUCUAUCUUAGACACUUUCUGUCCUUGUCCUUGCUCUUUCUCUUCCCCCUCCCUCUCUCCUCCUUGUUUCACUUGCUCCCACUCUUUCCUUUCUUGAGUGAAAUAAAAUGUUAAAAUAUUCACAGCGUGGCACCCCCUCUCCUGCCUUCUUUGUCUGUCUUUCCCUGCUUUCCAUUUUUAGUCCUGUCUUUCUGAUCCUUUUCAAAAAUGUC